AUUUAAGUGCUUGCUUAAUUUAAUCAAUUCAGUCUCACAUAUGACCCAGCAAGCGAAUGCAACAAAUUUGAAAGUACUGAAGUAAAAUAAAUUGGAACAUUACACACAUGUGUCUAACCUUCAUAAAUAUUAAUGGUUUAAUAUAUUUCAUGUUAUUUUGUUUUUGCUUUUUGUUAUUGAGGAUUUCACGAUCAAGUGGACGCCAUUAAGUGGUAAGGAUUAUAUACUUAAUAUGGACUCAGUGAACGCUCUAAUGACAAUACGAGGAACUAGCAGCUUUGGGUUAUCUGAUGGCGGACAAAGGGCGAAGACAACACAAUGUGUUAAGUGUGUGAAUACUGUUUGCAGGGGCUGUGCGAAAGGUUUCUAUGGCACGUGUUAUAAAUGAAUAACGUCAAGAAUUUAUAUGGCAGUACAUUUUUUUUUUAAUAGUACUGUGGAAGCUCACAAAUAAGAAUUCUCAAAAAAUUAAAUCAAUCCGUAAUUACAAAUUUAAGUUUUUGAAGUA